CGCACCGGGACUCGGGGAGAGCGGGACCCCGGGACACCGGGGCUCGGGGACACGGGACACCGCCCCGCGCGGCGCCCUGCGGCCGCGCAGAAGCCCCGGGGGAGGGGUGUACCCCGUCCUGCUGCUCCCCGGGGGCGCUGGCAGGGCCACGCAUCCCCGCCCCACCCCGCGCUCUGCCUCGGGAGCUUCCCCAUCUUAUUCUGCAGUUGUGUCUCGAACAGAACUUUACACAGACGAGUCCAGAACCUCAAAGCAAGCUCUCCCUUCUGUUUGGAAUGGAAAUGAUCACCAAGCUUUGGCUCCAGUGAAGAUGCCAGACUAACUCACCUGUCUGGAAGGAAAGACUGACUUGGAAGGAAAAGAGGCUGGAUUGAUCUGAUCUACCCAAGGUAUUUAUUUUACCAAUUAGCUGUUUCUGUGCUCAGGACCAAGUCACUUUUAUGUAUGCAUCUUGGCCUUCACCCUCCCCAUCAGUAAGAGGAGAGGCAGCACAACAGAUUCUUGCCUAAUUCUGCAUUAAAGGACCUGUUCUAGACAUCAGGAGACCCUCUGAUGGUUGUGUUACUGACACAGGUAGCAGCACUCAGGGCUUUGUAGUGUUUUCAAUAGUUAAAGGAAAAUCAGCCUCAACAUCCAAGUAAAGCAAGCAGAGCACACAUUCCUUUUUUCCACAGACAUCUUUCCUGUUAUCAGGAGUUUUACAAAAGCCAAAUUCAGCCCUCAAAUCCCUUGUGGCAGAUGGAAGAGAGUUGUAACCUUUUCUUUUUUCCUGACAGUAAUACUGAGAGAGACACAGCCAGCAAAGCUGUGGGAUGAAGCAGUCUAGUUGGGGUUACAUGCAGUCUGU
rnacentral:lncRNA from 1 species